AGCGGCGGACGGGUGAGUAACACGUGGGUAACCUGCCCAAGAGACUGGGAUAACACCUGGAAACAGAUGCUAAUACCGGAUAACAACACUAGACGCAUGUCUAGAGUUUGAAAGAUGGUUCUGCUAUCACUCUUGGAUGGACCUGCGGUGCAUUAGCUAGUAGGUAAGGUAACGGCUUACCAAGGCAAUGAUGCAUAGCCGAGUUGAGAGACUGAUCGGCCACAUUGGGACUGAGACACGGCCCAAACUCCUACGGGAGGCAGCAGUAGGGAAUUUUCCACAAUGGACGAAAGUCUGAUGGAGCAACGCCGCGUGAGUGAAGAAGGGUUUCGGCUCGUAAAGCUCUGUUGGUAGUGAAGAAAGAUAGAGGUAGUAACUGGCCUUUAUUUGACGGUAAUUACUUAGAAAGUCACGGCUAACUACGUGCCAGCAGCCGCGGUAAUACGUAGGUGGCAAGCGUUGUCCGGAUUCAUUGGGCGUAAAGCGAGUGCAGGCGGUUCAAUAAGUCUGAUGUGAAAGCCUUCGGCUCAACCGGAGAAUUGCAUCAGAAACUGUUGAACUUGAGUGCAGAAGAGGAGAGUGGAACUCCAUGUGUAGCGGUGGAAUGCGUAGAUAUAUGGAAGAACACCAGUGGCGAAGGCGGCUCUCUGGUCUGCAACUGACGCUGAGGCUCGAAAGCAUGGGUAGCGAACAGGAUUAGAUACCCUGGUAGUCCAUGCCGUAAACGAUGAGUGCUAAGUGU
rnacentral:rRNA from 1 species